UACGGGGGGGGUAAGCGUUGUUCGGAAUUACUGGGCGUAAAGGGCUCGUAGGCGGCCAACUAAGUCAUACGUGAAAUCCCUCAGCUUAACUGGGGAACUGCGUGUGAUACUGGAUGGCUUGGAUUUGGGAGAGGGAUGCGGAAUUCCGGGUGUAGUGGUGGAAUGCGUAGAGAUCCGGAGGAACACCAGCGGCGAAGGCGGCGUCCUGGACUGGGCCUGACGCUCAGGAGCGAAAGCGUGGGGAGCGAUCCGG
rnacentral:rRNA from 1 species